UAAUUUGUGACAGGGUCUUGCUGUCCACUCCAGGCUGGAGUGCAGUGGUGCAAUCUCAGCUUACUACGGCCUCCACCUCCUGGGCUCAAGCAAUCCUCCCACCUCAGCCUCCUGAGUAGCUGAGACUACAGACAUGUCCUGCCAUACCCAGUCUUUUUUUUUUUCCAUUUUUUGUAGCGACAGGAUCUUGCUGUUUCCCGAACUCAUCUAGAACACCUGGGCUGAAGCAACCCUCCCUCCUCAGCCUCCCAAAGCACUUGGAUUACAGGCUUGAGCCACUGUGCCUGGCCAGGAAUAAAUUUCUAACCCAUCCCAUGACUCCCAGCAGAAGGAAAGUCUAAAUUUAGCCAUAGUUUCAGAAACAAUGCCCUUACAUGACGUGAAAUAAACAGGUCUUUAAGAGAGAGGUGCCAGCUCCUCGUUCGUGGAUGCAUUUGUCCACCUAGGAAUAGACACACGCUGCACAUUUCCUGCAUGCUGGGCUCUGUAAGGAGGAAGGGAGAGGCCCCUGCUUGGAGAAGCUUUCCAUCCAACAGAUGUGGAUGCUACCUAUGCCACCAGUGUCAAACAUAACUUCAGGAUCACAGAAGAGGCCGAGAGUGCUAAAAGGUCACGCUGGAAUGAAGCAUAUGAGGUGAGAACAUAGCAAGAAGCUACCAUCUGUGCACCAGGAAAUGGGCCCUCACAAGACAUCAAAUCUGCCAGCCACCUCAAUGGUGGGCUUUCCAGCCUCCAGAACUGUGAGAAAUAAAUUUCUGUUUUUAUAAGCCACCUGGUUUAUGGUAUUUUGUUACAGCAACCUAAACAGACUAAGACAAUUGGCAAGAUCAGAUGUAUUUGGCAAAGAUUUGCAUAGACUAGAGUCCCGCUGUGUGGCUGGAGCAAGGGAAGCUUGCGCUGUGCCUCAGGUUGAUCCAGUCCUUACCUUGUGGCCUUGCCCGAUCCUCACAGCACCCCUCGGUGGUGAGAAUGAUUAUCUCCAUUCUAUGGAUGAGGAUAUGGAUAACCAGAGAGGUUAAGUGAACAGCCUCAGAUCACACAGCCAAUUCAAGUCAGGGCUGCUGCAGAGAGCCUGAAACAGGGGGAUCCUGGGAGGGAAGGAAGAGCAUGCAUCCUCUCACCCAAAACAGAUGUCUGGCUGAGUUCCAAAAGCAAAAGUACUCUGAGUGGGUCCCACCCCUGAUGGGGAAGGCAGCCCCCUGGCCACCAGCCUGGGGAGGCCACACAGUUGCUGCUAUCCCAUGGGCAGCUGGCCCCUUCCUCCCACAAACAGCAGCACCUGCUCACCAGAUCACCAGGCAGAGGCAAGAUGAAUGUUCGCAGCACCACGUCCUGCUGAAGCUCUACACAAACACAGCACCCAUGGCAACCAAACAGAGGGCAAACACAGGAGCAGGAAUGCCGCUGUGAGAACAAGGCCCAGGAGUGACAGCCACGAGCCACCCACUUUAUGGGCACUUACUAAGUGCCAGGCGCCACAUCAAGGAUUAAAUACCUUAUUUAAUCAUCGAUGCAGCCUGAUGAGGAAUGUGCCAUUGCUGCCCGCUUUAACAACAACGAAACAGACAUGAGCAGAGUUGAUGGAAGCUGUGUAAGGAGAGAACCAAAGGCUCUGUCUGAGCCCGGGUGUCUGAUGCCACAACCCAGCCACAAUCUCCAUGCUACCAUUUCCCCUGACAGACACCGAAGUAACACAGCCCCUCGGGAGAGCUGGGCCCCCAAGUUAGGGACAGGUAAAUGGCGACACAGAAUAUAAGCUCCUCCAAGGCAGGAAUUUUGUGUUUUGCUCAUUGAUGGGAAGCAAGCUUCUACAAUAGUGCCAGGCAGGUGGAUGACUUUGAAUAAGUAUUUGUUGGCCAGGGGCGGUGGCUCACACUUGAAAUCCUUGCACUUUGGGAGGCUGAGGCAGGUGGGUUGCUUGAGCCCAGGGGAUUGAGACCAGCCUGGGCAGCAUGGUGAAACCCUGUCUCUACAAAAAAUACACACAAAAAAAUUAACCAAGCAUGGUGGCGGUUGCCUGUAGUCCCAGCUGCUUGGGAGUCUGAGGUGGGAGAUCUCCUGAGCCCGGGAGGUCAUGGAUGUGGUGGGCCAUGAUCACGUCACUGCACUCCAGCCUAGGUGACAAAGACCCUGUCUUAAAACAAAAUUGUAUUUGCUAAGGAAAAUCAAGAUCCAGAAAGCCACCCUGAGAUGUAAACGCUCAAUUGGUCAAGUGACUUGAUCUCACACAUUAGCCUCGCAGUUUGAAAUUCAGAUUUUUCCUUACUAAGGCCUAAUAGUAAAGUCCCUUAAAAAUGUCAUUUUAAAUAUAGUAUAAUUGGUCAAGGAACCACAUCUUUAGCUCUGUUCUUAUUCCACACGGGAGAAGGUUAGGGGAGGAAAGUGACACAUUUAUUGUCCUAGAAAGCCGCUGGCCCGAGAAGGACUUUGACCCCAGCACCUUCCUCAGCCAGCCACACAGGCUCACCCUGGGUCAUCUCAUUUAAUAUUCAAUAAUGCAACCCCUGCUUUAAUGACAUGGAAUUUUGGGUUCUCAUUUACUGUAUGAUGGUGGGAUUUUCCAUGUCGCCAUGUGUCGCAGAUGUUUCGUUUCCAUGUAAACAAUCACCCACAUAUUGCAUCUACUCAUGACAAAGCCAGUGGCCCUCAGAGGCUUUCCAUGGUUUCUGCCCACAGCCCCAGGGGUCAGCCCUGAC
rnacentral:lncRNA from 1 species